UUUUUGAAUCACCGGUUCCCGUAAGAUCACUGAAGUUAAGCAACGUCGAGUCAGAUCAGUACACAGAUGGGUGACCGUUUAGAAUGCCAGGUG